GAUGAACGCUGGCGGCGUGCCUAAUACAUGCAAGUCGAGCGAACAGAUAAGGAGCUUGCUCCUUUGACGUUAGCGGCGGACGGGUGAGUAACACGUGGGUAACCUACCUAUAAGACUGGGAUAACUUCGGGAAACCGGAGCUAAUACCGGAUAAUAUUUCGAACCGCAUGGUUCGAUAGUGAAAGAUGGUUUUGCUAUCACUUAUAGAUGGACCCGCGCCGUAUUAGCUAGUUGGUAAGGUAACGGCUUACCAAGGCGACGAUACGUAGCCGACCUGAGAGGGUGAUCGGCCACACUGGAACUGAGACACGGUCCAGACUCCUACGGGAGGCAGCAGUAGGGAAUCUUCCGCAAAGGGCGAAAGCCUGACGGAGCAACGCCGCGUGAGUGAUGAAGGUCUUCGGAUCGUAAAACUCUGUUAUUAGGGAAGAACAUACGUGUAAGUAACUGUGCACGUCUUGACGGUACCUAAUCAGAAAGCCACGGCUAACUACGUG
rnacentral:rRNA from 1 species